AACAUCCUUUUGCAACGUUCUUUGAACGUUGCGAAAAGUUACUUUUGCAACGUUCAGAAGAACGUUGCGAAAAGUUACUUUUGCAACAUUUUCUGAACGUUGCAAAAUGUCUCUUUUGCAUUUUGAUUGUGUAGUU
rnacentral:sRNA from 1 species